rnacentral:rRNA from 1 species
UGGGGAAUUUUGCGCAAUGGGCGAAAGCCUGACGCAGCAACGCCGCGUGUGUGAUGAAGGUCUUCGGAUUGUAAAGCACUUUCGACCGGGACGAAAACCCUCUGGCUAACACUCAGGGGCUUGACGGUACCGGGAGAAGAAGCACCGGCUAACUCUGUGCCAGCAGCCGCGGUAAUACAGAGGGUGCAAGCGUUGUUCGGAAUUAUUGGGCGUAAAGCGCGUGUAGGCGGCUUUGCAAGUCGGGUGUGAAAGCCCUCAGCUCAACUGAGGAAGUGCGCCCGAAACUGCAGAGCUUGAGUGCCGGAGAGGGUGGCGGAAUUCCCCAAGUAGAGGUGAAAUUCGUAGAUAUGGGGAGGAACACCGGUGGCGAAGGCGGCCACCUGGACGGUAACUGACGGCUGAGACGCGAAAGCGUGGGUAGCAAACAGGAUUAGAUACCCUGGUAGUCCACGCCGUAAACGAUGAGAACUAGGUGUCGUGGGUGUUGACCCCCGCGGUGCCGAAGCUAACG